rnacentral:rRNA from 1 species
UGGCGGCGUGCUUAACACAUGCAAGUCGAACGAUGAACCACUUCGGUGGGGAUUAGUGGCGAACGGGUGAGUAACACGUGGGCAAUCUGCCCUUCACUCUGGGACAAGCCCUGGAAACGGGGUCUAAUACCGGAUAACACUCCUGCUCUCAUGGGCAGGGGUUAAAAGCUCCGGCGGUGAAGGAUGAGCCCGCGGCCUAUCAGCUUGUUGGUGAGGUAAUGGCUCACCAAGGCGACGACGGGUAGCCGGCCUGAGAGGGCGACGGGCCACACUGGGACUGAGACACGGCCCAGACUCCUACGGGAGGCAGCAGUGGGGAAUAUUGCACAAUGGGCGAAAGCCUGAUGCAGCGACGCCGCGUGAGGGAUGACGGGCUUCGGGUUGUAAACCUCUUUCAGCAGGGAAGAAGCGAAAGUGACGGUACCUGCAGAAGAAGCGCCGGCUAACUACGUGCCAGCAGCCGCGGUAAUACGUAGGGCGCAAGCGUUGUCCGGAAUUAUUGGGCGUAAAGAGCUCGUAGGCGGCUUGUCACGUCGGGUGUGAAAGCCCGGGGGAUAACCCCGGGUCUGCAUUCGAUACGGGCUAGCUAGAGUGUGGUAGGGGAGAUCGGAAUUCCUGGUGUAGCGGUGAAAUGCGCAGAUAUCAGGAGGAACACCGGUGGCGAAGGCGGAUCUCUGGGCCAUUACUGACGCUGAGGAGCGAAAGCGUGGGGAGCGAACAGGAUUAGAUACCCUGGUAGUCCACGCCGUAAACGGUGGGAACUAGGUGUUGGCGACAUUCCACGUCG